GUCAGAUGAAACUAGAUAUCAUUCUAAUUACAUGGGAUUCGCUAUGUCAUCGAAUCCAUUUGUUCUGAAAGCCAUCUGCAUUGCACCGAUGUUCAAACUCAAAUCAUCAGCACUCUAGCUAUGUCAAAAGCUGCUCGCCUCUCUUCAAAUGGGUUGUUAAGCUGAUCGAUAUCUAUUACGAACUCUUGAGAUUCUUGCCUAUUGGGAGUUGAAUCAUACUCUGAAGAGGGUGGAUCUCCAGGAAAUUCUGUGUGGACUGAAUUGGCUAAUGGACUUGGCUCGCCCACAUAAGGCAGAUUAAUACCACUUCUGUCAUUCACUUCAUUUUUUCUGAA